CCUACGGGUGGCAGCAGUGGGGAAUAUUGGGCAAUGGGCGCAAGCCUGACCCAGCAACGCCGCGUGAAGGAAGAAGGCUUUCUGGUUUUAAACUUCUUUUCUGAGGGACGCAAAAAGUGACGGUACCUCAGGAAUAAGCCACGGCUAACUACGUGCCAGCAGCCUCUGUGAUACGUCGGUGGCAAGCGUUAUCCGGAUUUAUUGGGUGUAAAGGGCGUGUGGGCGGGAAAGCAAGGCAGAUGUGAAAACUCAGGGCUCAAACCUGAGCCUGGAUUUGAAACUGGGUUUCUUGAGUGCUGGAGAGGCAAUCGGAAUGCGGUGUGUAGCGGUGAAAUGCGUAGAUAUACGGAGGAACACCAGUGGCGAAGGCGGAUUGCUGGAGAGUAACUGACGCUGAGGCGCGAAAGCGUGGGGAGCAAACAGGAUUAGAUACCCUUGUAGUC
rnacentral:rRNA from 1 species